AAUGCCCAUAUUUAUCACCGAUUGGUGACCACGAACCGGAAGGUGUUUAGUGCGACGGCCGGGCGGCCCCCUACUAGAUAGACGGAUGACCUGAUGAGGGCGGCGGGUAACCGAUGCUAGUCUGGCAAUCUUUGGGGGAGGCCUAUGUUGCAGUGGACGUCUUUUCUGCUGAUAUGAUGAAAACAAGAUAAAUGGACUUGUAGCGGUUGGUUCAUCAAUUGUUAAAAGUGUCUACAGUCCACGUGAGCUGCCUACCGACGACACCAAUGA